GUCAUAGAUGUUUUUUGGUCCCUCCUACAACAGUGUACAUUGACCGAUCCAUCAAUAUAUUUGGAGUCAUAUUUUAUGUUGUGACCCUUCUAUAUGGUGACUCAAUGCCCAUGACAGUUAUGAGGGUGGUGGUUUGCCAGUCAGUGAGAAGACAGUGAUCGGUCCUCUAUUUCCAUGACUAAAGGCUACACAUCAAUGGGAGAGAGAUGGAGAGGAGAUUUAGAAAAGAUGGCAUUUAGAAGAAUUAGAAGAUCUUUACAUGACUCCUCACUCUCUAGCAUGGACUCAACUGGAAACUUUAAAGCUCCCGGUCAGUGCAAGUAUAGUCUUGUAGCUAAAAUGUGGACUUCAUGGACCAAUGAUAACCCUGAAUGAAGAUUUAAGGAUCGUCCAAAUUAUCAGAUGAGU